rnacentral:rRNA from 1 species
UACGUAGGUGGCAAGCAUUGUCCGGAUUUACUGGGCGUAAAGGGCGUGCAGGCGGUCUGUUAAGUCUAGGGUGAAAGCUCCCGGCUCAACUGGGAGAGGUCCUUGGAUACUGGCGGACUUGAGGGAGGCAGAGGAGUAUGGAAUUCCCGGUGUAGUGGUGAUAUGCGUAGAUAUCGGGAGGAACACCAGUGGCGAAGGCGGUCAUCUGGCGGUCUACCUGACGCUCGAGGCGACGAAGACUGGGGAGCGAACCGG